GUGGAAGGGGCAACAGCCAAAGCCAGCAGUGUUAUCAGCUUUCUACGUCACAAUCUGCAAAAUGCACCCAAAGAAGUUAAGAUCCAAGCAUAUAAAAGCCUUGUUACAAUGUGGAUAAAUACCUGGGUGUGC